rnacentral:rRNA from 1 species
UACAGAGGUGGCAAGCGUUGUUCGGAAUUACUGGGCGUAAAGGGCGCGUAGGCGGCCGCCUAAGUCAGACGUGAAAUCCCCAAGCUUAACUUGGGAACUGCGUCUGAUACUGGGUGGCUUGAGUUCGGGAGAGGAAUGCAGAAUUCCAGGUGUAGCGGUGAAAUGCGUAGAUAUCUGGAGGAAUACCGGUGGCGAAGGCGGCAUCCUGGACCGAUAUUGACACUGAGGAGCGAAAGCCAGGGGAGCAAACGGG